rnacentral:rRNA from 1 species
GACGAACGCUGGCGGCGUGCUUAACACAUGCAAGUCGAACGGUGAAGCGCCUUCCUUUUUGGUGGGUGUGGAUGAGUGGCGAACGGGUGAGUAACACGUGAGUAACCUGCCCCCUCCUUCUGGAUAACCGCAUGAAAGUGUGGCUAAUACGGGAUAUUCUGGGUCUGUCGCAUGAUGGGUCUGGGAAAGAUAUUGUUUCGGUGGGGGAUGGGCUCGCGGCCUAUCAGCUUGUUGGUGGGGUGAUGGCCUACCAAGGCGGUGACGGGUAGCCGGCCUGAGAGGGUGGACGGUCAUACUGGGACCGAGACGCGGCCCAGACUCCUACGGGAAGCAGCAGUGGGGAAUAUUGCACGAUGGGCGCAAGCCUGAUGCAGCGACGCCGCGGGAGGGAUGGAGGCCUUCGGGUUGUGAACCUCUUUCGCCAGUGAAGCAGGCCUGCCUCGUUUGUGGGUGGGUUGACGGUAGCUGGAUAAGAAGCGCCGGCUAACUACGUG